rnacentral:rRNA from 1 species
GACGGACGCUGGCGGCGUGCUUAACACAUGCAAGUCGAACGAUGACGACCGAGCUUGCUCGGUCUGAUUAGUGGCGAACGGGUGAGUAACACGUGAGCAACCUGCCCUUCACUCUGGGAUAACCUCGGGAAAUCGGGGCUAAUACCGGAUAUGAGCUCCUGUCGCAUGGCGGGUGUUGGAAAGUUUUUCGGUGAAGGAUGGGCACGCGGGCUAUCAGCUUGUUGGUGAGGUAGUGGCUCACCAAGGCGCUGACGGGUAGCCGGCCUGAGAGGGCGACCGGCCACACUGGCACUGAGACACGGCCCAGACUCCUACGGGAGGCAGCAGUGGGGAAUAGUGCACAAUGGGCGAAAGCCUGAUGCAGCGACGCCGCGUGAGGGAUGACGGCCUUCGGGUUGUAAACCUCUUUCAGCAGGGAAGAAGCGACAGUGACGGUACCUGCAGAAGAAGCGCCGGCUAACUACGUG